CGCUGCGUGGUGACGUAGGCGCGUGCAUGUGUGCCCCGGUCACAGCUCCUUUCAGCAUGGCCGGAGGAGAGGGUUACGGGCAGUCGCGUGACACGCACGGAUCGAACAUGUAUCUCUGUGUUGCAGGUAUGGAGAUGUUUUUAUGUUUUGGAGAUGCAGUCUUUCAUUUAUUGUUCUUAUAAGUUGUUUUGAUGUUUUUUAGUGACAUAUUGUUUAUUUUGUGCUUUUUGUUUUUUGAGAGUUUAAGUCAAUGUUUUGAAAUAAUUUGUUGUAUUUGGUUCGUUACAUUAAUGUACAUUAAGGACACAGCUCCUUUCAGCAUGGCCGGAGGAGAGGGUUACGGGCAGUCGCGUGACACGCACGGAUCGAACAUGUAUCUCUGUGUUGCAGAUGUGCACUCCUUUCAGCAUGGCCGGAGGAGAGGGUUACGGGCAGUCGCGUGACACGCACGGAUCGAACAUGUAUCUCUGUGUUGCAGAUGUGCAGUAAAGAGCCAAAGAUUCGACACUGUCUCCUGCCUCUUGCUUCAACACCAAAACACAACGCAGAACAGCAGGCGUAACAAUUAGACGGGUUACACA
ensembl:lncRNA